GACAGAGGUGGCAAGCGUUGUUCGGAUUCAUUGGGUGUAAAGGGUCUGUAGGUGGUCGAGCAAGUCUGACGUGAAAUCCCAUGGCUCAACCGUGGAACUGCGUUGGAAACUGCGCGACUUGAGUACCGCAGAGGUGUAGGGAAUUCCCGGUGUAAGGGUGAAAUCUGUAGAUAUCGGGAGGAACACCAGUGGCGAAGGCGCUACACUGGGCGGUUACUGACACUGAGAGACGAAAGCAAGGGGAGCAAACAGG
rnacentral:rRNA from 1 species